rnacentral:lncRNA from 1 species
CAGUCGUUUAUAACACACACUUGGCUGUUCCUGUUUCCAGGGCAACGUCACAAUUGCCGUGGUGAUGGGAAGUGACACGUGUGAAAUCAUCUCGUCUCGCCACACACACACACACCCUCUCGUCUCUCCACCUUGUGAUUACCUCUCCGUCUGAGGAGAGACAGAAGAGGGAUAGGAAUGAAUGAAUGUAUCAUUGUGUGUGUCUGAGUGGUGUUGAAUCACGAGCCGCGUCCCUCUCCUCCUCUCUUCCCUUGUUACCCAGACAUCUCCUUCAUUGAUUAGUCUCCAUCAGAGGAGAGACAGAUGGAGGGGGAUGCACCGCUGUGCUGUCUGUUUAGGGAAUAGAGAGGGAGGUGGAAUAUAUGAGAGGGAGGGAGAGAGAUGGUCAGCGGGAAGAAGGGAGAGAUGGAUGGAGGGAGAGGGAGGAUGGGGGAGAGGGGGCUGCACCGCUGUGCUGUCUGGGAAUAGUGGCAUUUAGAGAGGGAGGUGGACUAUAUGAGGAGGCGGGAGAGAUGGUCAGCGGGAAGAAGGGAGAGAUGGAGGGAGAGAAGGCCGGAGGGGGGGGGGGGGGGGGGGGGGGGGGGGCGGAGGGAGAUGUGGGCCGGAGGGAGAUGUGGGCCGGAGGGAGGGGGAGAUGGGGGAGAUGGGGGGGAGAUGGAGGGAGGGGGUAGAUGGGGGAGAUGGAGAGAGGGGAAUGGGAGUGAUUGGGUCUUUUUUUGUUUUGUUAGUCUGGGUUAGUAAGUGUGUCUCUGUGUUCUAGAUGGAGUUGGAGCUGGAGGUUAUGAAGAAGCAGCAAGACUCCGUCGCCGAGGGCAACCCCUUAGCAACGAACGAGGAAGUCAACACACUCCGGCUGAAGAUUGAGGAGUUGGAGGGAGAGCGACAACGUCUGGAAGAACAGAACAAUGUUCUAGAGCUGAGGCUGGAGAGACACAACUUACAGGUACACAGUCGUGUGUGUGAGGACUCGACAUACAGGGCUGCUCUCACCUGUCAAUCAUCCACGUCAGGGCUGCUCUCUGGCCUGGUAUAUCCAUGUGAUAUAGCCUACACCUUCACAGUAAAUCCAUGUGAUAUAGCCUACACCUUCACAGUAAAUCCAUGUGAUAUAGCCUACACCUUCACAGUAAAUCCAUGUGAUAUAGCCUACACCUUCACAGUAAAUCCAUGUGAUAUAGCCUACAGUAAAUCCAUGUGAUAUAGCCUACACCUUCACAGUAAAUCCAGGUGAUAUAGCCUACACCUUCACAGUAAAUCCAUGUGAUAUAGCCUACAGUAAAUCCAUGUGAUAUAGCCUACACCUUCACAGUAAAUCCAGGUGAUAUAGCCUACACCUUCACAGUAAAUCCAUGUGAUAUAGCCUACAGUAAAUCCAUGUGAUAUAGCCUACACCUUCACAGUAAAUCCAGGUGAUAUAGCCUACACCUUCACAGUAAAUCCAUGUGAUAUAGCCUACACCUUCACAGUAAAUCCAUGUGAUAUAGCCUACAGUAAAUCCAUGUGAUAUAGCCUACACCUUCACAGUAAAUCCAUGUGAUAUAGCCUACACCUUCACAGUAAAUCCAGGUGAUAUAGCCUACACCUUCACAGUAAAUCCAGGUGAUAUAGCCUACAGUAAAUCCAUGUGAUAUAGCCUACACCUUCACAGUAAAUCCAUGUGAUAUAGCCUACACCUUCACAGUAAAUCCAUGUGAUAUAGCCUACACCUUCACAGUAAAUCCAUGUGAGAUGGCCUACAGUAAAUCCAUGUGAUUUAGUCUACAACUUCACAGUAAAUCCAUGUGAUAUAGCCUACAGUAAAUCCAUGUGAUAUAGCCUACACCUUCACAGUAAAUCCAUGUAAUAUAGCCUACACCUUCACAGUAAAUCCAUGUAAUAUAGCCUACAGAGAAGCCUAAUUACCAUGUCUAAACGGUCACGUGGAAUUUGACUGUCUUCAUGACUAGUGACCUCCGGUGUGGCGGUAAUAUGGUCACCAUAACAGCCCUAGUUUCAACCCAACUCAUCCUCUCUCUGUGUGUGUGUGGAUCUUAAUAGAAUCAGUCCUACUGUUGUCCCAGUCCUGAUGGUCCCUAAAGCCACACAGAGAUUAGAUUCCCUAUUCCACAGCAGUGAUGGGACACUAUCAACUAGAGAGCGUUUUAAAUCAGAGUGCUAGUUUAGAGUCUGCCUACAUGUCUGGAGGACCUGUCUGGGGUAGACAUGAAGGGUAGCUUUUUCUGUCACUUUCUCUCUGUCACACACACACACUUCCUGUCCCUGUGUGUUCUGGUCACACACACACACACUUCCUGUCCCCGUGUGUUCUGGUCACACAGACACUUCCUGUCCCCGUGUGUGUUCUGGUCACACAGACACUUCCUGUCCCCGUGUGUGUUCUGGUCACACAGACACUUCCUGUCCCUGUGUGUUCCGGUCUAAUUGUCAGAUCUUUCUGGCCUCAGGUUCCAAACCAUUUUCUAACAGUUACUGUGAACUCCACUGUUUCUCUGUCUCUGUCUCCCUCUCACCCUCACUAUUUUCUCCCCCCCUUCAUUAAAAGAGAAGAUGGUGUUCCUCUCUACUUAUUUAGAUCACUAAUGACUGGGUUUUCCUUUCCUCUUUAAAGAUACCAAGACACACAGAGACACCGACACACACACUGAGACACCGACACACACACACUCAGAGACACACAGACAAACACACAUCCUUCCAUUUGUCCAAUU